rnacentral:lncRNA from 1 species
GCCGCCAUACUCUCCGAUGCCGACCUCCGUGCCACCGCCUAACGAGAUCUACACCGCCUCGACCUCGUCGCCUCCGCCAUCUCCUGCUUCGCCCCCCGCCGCGAAGCGCCGCCGCCCCGGCCUCACCGCCCCCGUCAUCUCCUGCUUCACCCCCGCCGCGACUUUAGCCUCCUCCCGCCACCAAUUCCUUCGAAUUAGAGGAGGAUGAGUGCGGCAGCGCUUCGAGUUCCGCGGCAGCUGCGGAGGAUCUCACCGACGCGCCGUCGUUUCUAGGGUUUCUGACGAGCUGGUCGGCGAUCAACAGAUCUCUCUCUCGACAGAUCUCCCCCAAAUCUGAUGUGAAUUUGAGUUUUUCUAAUUUCUCUCCCCCAGAAAUUGAAGGCGGCGGCGGCUACCUUUCCUCUCCAGCGACGGCGACAAAGUUCCUUUCUCCAUCAGCGGUACUCCAGCAGCGCGGCGUUCUCCAGCGGGCGGUGCUCCAGCGGUGGUGAUUCUUAGAGAUCCAGCGGCGGUGCGACGUUCUCCGGCGUUUUUCGGCGCUUCUGCCAUCUCCUCUCUCUCCCUCUCUUUGCUGCGACGACGUUCUCCGGUGUUUUUCAUUUGCAGUGACUUAUUCUAUGAAAGAGUUGGAGUUUCUCAUUUCGUUGUUUCUCUCAUAAAUAUUCAAUAUAGGUCGUUGGUUUACUUUCCUCUAAAUGAAGUGAUAAUUGUUCUUCUCUAACAAACUAUUCUUCAGUAGCUGCUGUUUGUGAUAUUACUCUUCAAAAAUUCAAGCAGUCUCAAUGUUUUCUCUUAAUGUAUUUCCUGUAUUUUUCAUUGCUUAUGUUGCCAAAAUCAAGAUAGCUUUUUGUUGUCAUUCAUAUGUAGUAUGUUUGAUUGAGUGUUGAUCAUCUUGUUUGAGUUGAUAGGGGUAGAAUGGAUUCAAGUGCACACAACUUUGGUUCGUCAGAAUUGGAGUUGGAUUUGGAGAGGGAGUAUGAGAUCAAUCUAAAUCUUCCCGGUUCAAGUCCACCGCCAUUGCAGAGCUUCGUUGCAGCAGGUUUUGAGAGCAAUGCUGCAUACUUCUCGUGGCCGGCUUGCAGGAUAAGUGAUGCAGCAGAGGAUUGCUAGUGCUGCGAAUAUUAUGGCCUAUGAAGUCUGUGGGAAUCAAACCAAGCAAAUGUUGUAAUUUCUUGAGAAUUAUGCCUUUACCUAUGAGAUUUCGAUUGGUGAAAUGUUUUAUUUUAAUGUUUUUAGAGUUUGUGGUUGGCUUGCUUGGUACAGUAAAGUGCCAUUUAUUUUGAUUCGGAAUAGAGGAUAUACGUAC